CAACCUGCCUAUAACUAGGGAAUAACCUUGCGAAAGUAAGACUAAUACCCUAUGAUUUCCUUUGAUGGCAUCAGAUUAGGAAUAAAGAUUUAUCGGUUAUAGAUGGGGAUGCGUCUGAUUAGCUUGUUGGCGGGGUAACGGCCCACCAAGGCAACGAUCAGUAGGGGUUCUGAGAGGAAGGUCCCCCACAUUGGAACUGAGACACGGUCCAAACUCCUACGGGAGGCAGCAGUGAGGAAUAUUGGUCAAUGGGCGGAAGCCUGAACCAGCCAAGUAGCGUGCAGGAUGACGGCCCUAUGGGUUGUAAACUGCUUUUAUACAGGAAUAAAGUUAGCCACGUGUGGUUAUUUGUAGGUACUGUAUGAAUAAGGACCGGCUAAUUCCGUGCCAGCAGCCGCGGUAAUACGGAAGGUCCAGGCGUUAUCCGGAUUUAUUGGGUUUAAAGGGAGCGUAGGCCGUCUGUUAAGCGUGUUGUGAAAUGUAGAUGCUCAACAUCUGAAUUGCAGCGCGAACUGGCAGACUUGAGUGUGCGCAACGUAGGCGGAAUUCGUGGUGUAGCGGUGAAAUGCUUAGAUAUCACGAAGAACUCCGAUUG
rnacentral:rRNA from 1 species